rnacentral:tRNA from 1 species
GGCCCCAUCGUCUAGUGGCUCAGGACAUCAGGUUCUCAUCCUGAAAACACCGGUUCAAAUCCGGUUGGGGUCA